UUUAUUUAUAACAAUUUUGCGUUUAUAAACACAACAAAAAUAAUAAGUUGCAACAUACACUUCCUAGAACCCAAUCCACCAGCUGUGCUCGCCCCAAUUGCCGACAUCAGUGGUCCCAGUAUCCGAACAGACACACAUUUUCCACUGCCUCUGCCUACCCACAAAACCUGCCACAAUUGCCAGCAAUUUUUGUAGAUUAUUACUUCGAAUCAAUUGUGUGAAUAUUCAAGAGAUAGUUCACUGGCACGUCGCUAAAAUUCCUUGAGAACGGUGCGGCAUUUGCCGGAAUAGGCUAAGCAGCAGACGAAUUUGGUGGGCCCGAGUGAAAGGCAAAGCAGACCCCAGAGGCAACAGGAACACUGCAUGGCAAUGGACUUUUUGUUCGGUUCGCGUUCUAGUAAAACCUUCAAGCCGAAGAAGAACAUACCGGAAGGCACGCAUCAAUAUGAUCUUAUGAAGCAUGCCGCUGCCACUCUGGGAUCUGGUAAUCUGCGCAAUGCAGUGGCUCUGCCCGAUGGCGAGGAUCUCAACGAAUGGGUGGCCGUUAACACUGUGGACUUUUUCAAUCAAAUAAACAUGCUGUAUGGCACGAUCACGGAGUUCUGUACGGAGGAGAGCUGUGGCAUUAUGUCGGCUGGUCCGAAAUAUGAGUACCACUGGGCUGACGGUUUGACCGUGAAGAAGCCCAUCAAGUGCAGCGCCCCCAAGUACAUUGAUUAUCUGAUGACUUGGGUGCAGGAUCAGCUAGACGAUGAGACGCUGUUUCCAUCGAAAAUUGGUGUGCCGUUUCCAAAGAACUUUCUCACCUCCGCCAAGACCAUACUGAAGCGUUUGUUCAGGGUCUAUGCCCACAUCUACCAUCAGCACUUCUCCGAGGUGGUGACGCUCGGCGAGGAGGCCCAUCUGAAUACGUCCUUUAAGCAUUUCAUAUUCUUUGUGCAAGAGUUCAAUCUGAUCGAGCGACGCGAGCUGGCACCGCUGCAGGAGCUCAUCGACAAGCUGACGGCAAAGGACGAGCGGCAGAUAUAGGACAAGUGGCAGACACCUAGCGGUGGCUGCGGUGUCGGCAUCAUCGGCAUGCAAUUGGACUUGUGAUGGGAGCGCUCUGCUUUUAAGUUUCGUUCAGUGCUUCGUGUGGUCCCACUAAAAACAAAACAUACAAAACACUAACUAUAGCGGGCUAAUAAUGCUGAUGAGCAACUACUAUAUUUUUAUAUGUGACUCGUAACUUUAAGAGAUAUAUAGCAUAUUUAUAUAUAUGUGUGUAAAAGAGAAAACCAGAAAAAACAGCAGCACGCCUUCUAUAACCCGCACAGAACACACACAAACACACACGCCCCCAACCGCUUAUGGAAAACAACCAAUAUUAUGUUCACAAAACACAAUGCGUUUAAUCGUUUUUCCCCCAAACAAAUGUAUGUAUGUAUUUAUUACUAUUAAACUAUCGCAUAUGCAUAGCUCGGCGUCGUGCAACGGAUGGAACGACUGUUUGUAAGGCAAAACCCCUCAGCGCAAUGGCAUUGUGUGGCGGCGACGCUCGACAGCACCCAAUAAAUGAUAAUAAUUGUAGACUUGAUAAACAUUUUUGAUACGUUUUAUACUAAUAAAGAGAAUAUUAUGAAUACA